GUUAGGAAUAUUGGACAAUGGGCGCAAGCCUGAUCCAGCCAUGCCGCGUGAGUGAUGAAGGCCUUCGGGUUGUAAAGCUCUUUAGCCGAUGAUUAUAAUGACUGUAGUCGGAAAAUAAGCCCCGGCUAACUUCGUGCCAGCAGCCGCGGUAAUACGAAGGGGGCGAGCGUUAUUCGGAAUCACUGUGCGUAAAGCGUGCGUAGGCGGCUUUGCAAGUUGGGAGUGAAAGCACAGGGCUCAACCCUGGAAUUGCUCUCAAAACUGCAAGGCUCGAAUUCGGGAGAGGAUAGCGGAAUUGUCAGUGUAGCAGUGAAAUGCGUAGAUAUUGACAGGAACACCAGUGGCGUAAGCGGCUAUCUGGACCGAUAUUGACGCUGAGGCACGAAAGCGUGGGGAUCAAACAGGAUUAGAUACCCCUGUAGUCC
rnacentral:rRNA from 1 species